UGAGUAACCUGCCCUCCACUCUGGGAUAAGCCCGGGAAACUGGGUCUAAUACCGGAUAUGACCUCCUGUCUCAUGGCGGGUGGUGGAAAGUUUUUUCGGUGGGGGAUGGACUCGCGGCCUAUCAGCUUGUUGGUGAGGUAAUGGCUUACCAAGGCGACGACGGGUAGCCGGCCUGAGAGGGCGACCGGCCACACUGGGACUGAGACACGGCCCAGACUCCUACGGGAGCAG
rnacentral:rRNA from 1 species